rnacentral:rRNA from 1 species
UCCAGACUCCUACGGGAGGCAGCAGUGGGGAAUAUUGGGCAAUGGGCGCAAGCCUGACCCAGCAACGCCGCGUGAAGGAAGAAGGCCCUCGGGUUGUAAACUUCUUUUAUCAGGGACGAAACAAAUGACGGUACCUGAUGAAUAAGCCACGGCUAACUACGUGCCAGCAGCCGCGGUCAUACGUAGGAUCCGAGCAUUAUCCGGAGUGACUGGGUGUAAAGAGUUGCGUAGGUGGCAUAAUAAGUAGCUAGUGAAAUCUGGUGGCUCAACCAUUCAGACUAUUAGCUAAACUGUUAAGCUCGAGACCGUUAGGGGUAACUGGAAUUUCUAGUGUAGGAGUGAAAUCCGUAGAUAUUAGAAGGAACACCAAUAGCGUAGGCAGGUUGCUGGGACGGUUCUGACACUAAGGCACGAAAGCGUAGGGAGCAAACGGGAUUAGAUACCCCUGUA